GUUUAUCAAAAACAUGUUUUUUAGAAAUUGAAUUUAAAGUCUAACCUGCCCACUGAAUUAUUUUAAAUGGCCGCAGUAUUUUAACUGUGCAAAGGUAGCAUAAUCAUUAGUCUUUUAAUUAAAGGCUGGAAUGAAUGGUUGAAUGAAAUAUUAACUGUUUCAUAAAAAUUUAUGAUAGAAUUUUAUUUUUUAGUUAUAAAGCUAAAAUAUUAUUAAAAGACGAGAAGACCCUAUAAAUCUUUAUAUUUUAUUGGGGUGAUAUUAAAAUUUAUUAAACUUUUAAUUUAUAUUAAACAUUAAUUAAUGAUUUAUUGAUCCAUAAAUAAUGAUUAAAAAAUUUAGUUACUUUAGGGAUAACAGCGUAAUUUUUUUUAAGAGUUCAUAUUGACAAAAAAGAUUGCGACCUCGAUGU
rnacentral:rRNA from 1 species